rnacentral:misc_RNA from 1 species
AUUGAAAAUCCAACGCCAGAGGAUGCACCAGAUGGGGAGUAAAUGGCUGUAUUUAUCCCAAUAAGGCUUCCUGAACUAUCAAGAAGUGGCCCUCCACUAUUACCAGGAUUAAUGGCAGCAUCUGUUUGUAUAACAUCCUGAAUAGGACGGCCAGUAGCAGCAGAACUGAUUUCUCUACGAAGCCCACUGAUGACACCAGUUGUUAAAGUGUGAUCAAGUCCAAAAGGGUUGCCGAUAGCAUAUACUUUCUGACCAACAAGCAAGUCAGCAGAAACACCAAUAGGUAUCGGUCUUAGUUUGUCCUUGGGCGCAUCAACUCGUAGUAGAGCAACAUCCUUGUCUUGGUCAAAUCCAACAACUUGUGCAUCAAAAGUUGACUGGUCGGCCAGAGUGACCUUGAGAUCAGAAGCACCGCGAAUCACAUGAUAAUUGGUGACAAUGUGACCUUCUUUGUCCCACACGAACCCUGAACCUGACCCCUGCGGCACCUCCAACACAUCCAAAGUAAAGGCAUCCUGCUUGACGGCGAGAUUGGUGAUGUAGACAACGGAGGGAGUGUUCGCUUGAAAGAGGCGAACAGUAGCAAGCUCA